rnacentral:rRNA from 1 species
UGCAUUUCAUACUGGGUCGCUAGAGUACUUUAGGGAGGGGUAGAAUUCCACGUGUAGCGGUGAAAUGCGUAGAGAUGUGGAGGAAUACCGAAGGCGAAGGCAGCCCCUUGGGAAUGUACUGACGCUCAUGUGCGAAAGCGUGGGGAGCAAACAGGAUUAGAUACCCUGGUAGUCCACGCUGUAAACGAUGUCGAUUUGGGGGUUGAGCUUUAAGCUUGGCGCCCGUAGCUAACGUGAUAAAUCGACCGCCUGGGGAGUACGGCCGCAAGGUUAAAACUCAAAUGAAUUGACGGGGGCCCGCACAAGCGGUGGAGCAUGUGGUUUAAUUCGAUGCAACGCGAAGAACCUUACCUACUCUUGACAUCCAGAGAACAUUC